UACGGGAGGCAGCAGUGGGGAAUAUUGCACAAUGGGCGAAAGCCUGAUGCAGCUAUGCCGCGUGUAUGAAGAAGGCCUUAGGGUUGUAAAGUACUUUCAUCGGGGAGGAAAAACAAAACUAAUAAUUUUAUUUCUUGACGUUACCCGAAAAAGAAGCACCGGCUAACUCCGUGCCAGCAGCCGCGGUAAUACGGAGGGUGCUAGCGUUAAUCAGAAUUACUGGGCGUAAAGAGCACGUAGGUGGUUUUUUUAAGUCAGAUGUGAAAUCCCUGGGCUUAACCUAGGAACUGCAUUUUGAAACUGAAAUACUAGAGUAUCGUAGAGGGAGGUAGAAUUCUAGGUGUAGCGGUGAAAUGCGUAGAUAUCUGGAGGAAUACCUGUGGCGAAAGCGGCCUCCUAAACGAAUACUGACGCUGAGGUGCGAAAGCGUGGGGAGCAAACAGGGAUUAGACUACC
rnacentral:rRNA from 1 species